rnacentral:rRNA from 1 species
GUUAGGAAUAUUGGACAAUGGGCGAAAGCCUGAUCCAGCCAUGCCGCGUGAACGAUGAAGGCCUUCGGGUUGUAAAGUUCUUUAGCCGAUGAUUAUAAUGACUGUAGUCGGAAAAUAAGCCCCGGCUAACUUCGUGCCAGCAGCCGCGGUAAUACGAAGGGGGCGAGCGUUAUUCGGAAUCACUGGGCGUAAAGCGUGCGUAGGCGGUUUUGUAAGUUAGGAGUGAAAGCCCAGGGCUCAACCUUGGAAUGGCGCUUAAAACUGCAAGGCUCGAAUCUCGGAGAGGAUAGCGGAAUUUCCAGUGUAGCAGUGAAAUGCGUAGAUAUUGGAAGGAACACCAGUGGCGUAAGCGGCUAUCUGGACGAGUAUUGACGCUGAGGCACGAAAGCGUGGGGAUCAAACAGGAUUAGAAACCCGGGUAGUCC